CCUAUAAAUAACAGCCAUCCCUCCCUUCCUCGUAAUUACUGUUUAUCGUCUUCUCUCUCUAGAAAAAAUCCCCAAAUUAUUUUUUUCAACCGGCGAAGCCCUAAUUUCUCAAAAUCCCUCCAAUGGCGCCGGAUCCGAUUAAAUCAAACAAACCGGGAAUUAUAAAAUCAGAGACAGACCAGAAAGACUCAAUGAAAGAGAGAGAAUCGAAUAAUUUAUGGGUAGGGAACAUAUCAAGUGAUGUAACAGAAUCAGAUCUAAUGAAAUUGUUUGCGCAAUACGGUGCGAUUGAUAAUGUAACGACGUAUACAGCAAGAAGUUAUGGGUUUGUUUACUUUAAACGUGUUGAAGAUGCUAAACAAGCUAAAGAUGCCUUACAAGGGACUUCUCUUCGUGGAAAUCAGAUUAAAAUCGAGUUUGCUAGACCGGCCAAACCUAGUAGGCAUCUAUGGGUGGGUGGAAUAGGCUCAUCAGUUUCUGAGGAAUGGCUGGAAGAAGAGUUUCUCAAGUUCGGUAAAAUUGAGGAUUUCAAGUUUCGUAGAGAUCAAAAUACUGCAUAUGUUGAGUAUUUCAAACUGGAAGAUGCUUCCCAAGCCAUGAAAAACAUGAAUGGAAAGAAAAUUGGUGGUGAUCAGUUACGUGUGGAUUUCCUUCGAACACAAUCCUCAAGAAGAGAACAAUUACCCGACUUUCACGAUUCAAGACAGGAUCAGUUUUCAGCAACACAUUAUGGAGUAAGACGACCUCAGAUACCUAAAUCUCCAGGGGAGCAGAAAGAUGGCCAACCCAGCAAUAUUUUGUGGAUAGGAUAUCCUCCUUCUGUGCGGAUUGAUGAACAAAUGAUACAUAAUGCCAUGAUUCUUUUUGGUGAGAUUGAGAAAAUUAAAAGCUUUCCUUCGAGGCAUUAUUCAUUUGUGGAAUUUAGAAGUGUUGAUGAAGCCCGGCGUGCCAAAGAAGGCUUGCAAGGGCGGCUUUUCUGUGAUCCCCGUAUCACAAUAACGUUCUCAAGUAGUGGACUGGCACCUGGGAAAGAGGACUCUGGUUUUUAUCCUGGAGUUAAAGGUCCUAGGCUGGAAAUGUUUAACAAACAUCCUUUUGCGCCUAUGGACAUCAUGUUUGAUCAACCUGGUGGGCCAAGAAAUUUUCCUGGUCCAUUUCCACCCAGUGGCAUUCAUAGACCGAACCUGCCAGUAUGGCCUUUUGGUCCUCAAGGUGUUUUUGACCCUAUACUUCAAGGUGGAGAACAUAAUGAUUUGGCUCCAUCACAUAGCGACCGAUAUCCUGCAUCUGGGAUCCUCCCUUCUCCUGCUUCAGGUAGCAGGCCACCCAUGAGGUCAGUUUCUAGUGGUUGGGAUGUGCUUGAUCCAAGCCAGUUUCCUAGGGACGCCAAGCGGUCAAGGAUUGAUUCUGCACCGUCUGUUGAUGAUGAUUCUUUUCCUGCUAGAAAGAUGGGUGAUCGUGAUUUGGGUUUGGACAAAGCAUAUGGGCUAGGUCCUAGAGGUGCAUAUCCAAGUUUCCACGGGAAUAAUAGUCUUAGUCCAGUUGGUGGUAGGCUUAAGGGUCAUUUUGAUGAUGAUUUCAUAUGGCGUGGGAUUGUGGCCAAGGGUGGAAUGCCUGUAUGCCAUGCCCGUUGUGUCCCUGUAGGAAAAGGGAUAGAAUCAGAGAUACCUCCUGUCAUAAAUUGCUCGGCAAGGACGGGGCUGGAUGUGCUGGCUAAACACUAUGCUGAGGCAAUUGGGUUUGACAUUGUUUUCUUCUUACCAGAUAGUGAGGAUGAUUUUGCUUCCUAUACGGAAUUUUUGCAUUACUUGGGUUCGAAGAAUCGAGCUGGUGUAGCAAAGUUUGAUGAUGGGACCACUCUAUUUCUCGUGCCCCCAUCAGAUUUCUUAAAGAAUGUGUUGAAAGUUGCAGGACCUGAACGCCUGUAUGGUGUAGUACUCAAGUUGCCGCAGCAGGCCCCUAACAAUAAAUCAAUGCAGCAACAAUUGCCUCAGCCCAUCCAUUUUUCUCAGUACACGAACAAUCAGAUUUCACCACCAGAAGCUGACUAUAAUUUGCUCCAUCAGCAGGAGGAGCAAGUGAUGUCAAUCCAUCAUAAUAGGGUUUUGCAUGAGGAUUCAAAGCUUCCUUCAAAAUCAAUUUAUCCGUUGACAACAGCGUCCCACGCAGUGCUGCCAGUCCCCCAAGAAUAUGCCUCAAAUCACAGUGCAGCACCGUCCUCUGCUGGAUUUUUGACACCUGAUCUUAUUGCUACUCUUUCAACUUUACUGCCUGCCAAUAAGCAGUCUAGUUCAGAAAGUAACCAACCAGAAUUGGGCUCUCCUAUUGUCAGGCCACGGUUUUCUUCAGUUAUCCCUGACAAAGGAACUUCCUCUCAGGGAUGGAAGCAUGAUAAUCAAGUUUCUGGAAAUACAAGUCAUUUACAAUUUGGGAACCACUUGAAUUAUCAGGUGCAGGUUCAGUCUCGGUUCCAGCCUUGCCCAUCUGUCCCCAGCACAUAUAGUCAUUCAACAAAUGUGGUCCCUAGAAACAGUCAAAUCCAAGAUUCUACUGUCAGCCUAUCUCAUCAGAGUGCAACUCCAUCCAGGCCAUUGACUAGCUUUUCCAUGCCUUCUCAAAGUGGACAGUUUGCUUUGUCUCCACAGGUUCAGGGCACAAAUUUUUCCCAGACCCAAUAUGGGAUCCCACCAUCUGCAGACAGAGGGAAUGGGGAGCUUCCCAGUCAAGUGCAGCAAUUCCAACCUGCUCUUUCUGUAUCUGGGCGGGGUAUCUCAGAGGCUGAUAAGAAUCAGAGAUACCAGUCAACGCUGCAGUUUGCAGCCAACCUCCUGCUCCAGCUACAGCAGCAGCAGAAUACCAGCAACCCUGAUGCACAUGGAUCUGGGAAUCAGCAAUGAGUUUUCUCUUAAGGAAACAAAGAUGUGCAGAUAAGUAAAUCCAUGGAAGUGCUUGUACAUUGAUUUUGAUAUAGUAAAGUUAGAUGUUGGGAAACAGAAUUGUCAUGGCUGUUUUGAGGAGCUUGAGUUUUUAUUUAAGGUGCCCAGGAAGAGAUGACUUGCUUGGGUUAGAACUUAAUUAUCGGAGUUCUAUUUGAUAUUUUGAUGAUACAAGGGAUUUGAUUCAGGAAGAAAUAUUCAUGGACCCAUCCUUGUGUCUAUUUCUCUCCCAUGCUACAAGUAUUGGUAGUUACAGUUCAAACACUAUAGAAUUUUGUCAAAGAGAGGCUAUUCAUGUUGGUCAACUGUCUGUCGUAGUUAUUUAUCUUUGUAGCAUUUCCUAUCCAAGCUCUCUGGACCAACAAUUAUGACAGUAAUGGCAGUUGCAGGAGGUGCCUUUAACAAUCUAGCAGUUGCACUUAAUGCUUAUCAGUGUAGCCUUUUUCUCAACUUUUGGGGGGUCCAAUAGCAUAGGCUUACUCUAUGAUGCUCUCUGAACAAACGAAAGUAAAGAAUCGCUACGAGUUUGGAGUGAGUUCUGGUUGGUAAGUGGAACCCAAUUUUCCUCUCAAAGUGGCAUCUGUACAGAAUCUACUGCCAGGGUUGGCUAUUCUGUCUAUAUAUAUCACGGAGAACGUGCAAAAUCAUAGCUGUCUAGGGUUUGAGUUUGGGUAGGGUUGAGUUGAUUUUGUAGUCAAUUCAGGAAUGUAAAUGGGUUUUGUUCCCCUCUCUCAACAUGGAGUUAUCAGGAUUUUCUUUUCUUUUCUUUCAAUAAAUCAAAUUCAAUUUUUUUCUA